UUCUCAACCACUGCGCCACCAGGGAAGCCCUCAACCUUUCUUUUAGGAUAGGUAGGUUUAGUAUUGCUGAAUUCUUUUAGUUUCUGCUUGUCGGAGAAAUUCUAUUCUUCUCUUCUAAAUGAUAAUCUUGCUGGAUAGAGUAUCCUAGGUUGCAGGAUUUUCCCUUUUAGGGCUUUGAAUGUAUUAUGCCACUUCCUUCUGCCCUGCAAAGUUUCUCCAGAGAAAUGAGCUGAUAGCCUUGUGGGGAUUCCCUUGUAUAUGACUCUCUGUUUUUCUCCUGCUGCCUUUAGAAUUCUCUCUUUGUAUCUUUAAUUUUGCCAUUUUAAUUACGAUAUGUCUUGGUGUGGGCCAGUUUGGGCUCAUCUUGUUUGGCACUCUGCUUCCUGAAAUUGGAUAUGUUUCCCUCUUUAGGUUUGGGACGUUUCCAGCCAUAAUUUCUUCAAGUACAUUUUUGAUCCCUUUCUCUCUUCUUUUUCUGGAACCCCUAUAAUGUGAAUAUUGGCACAUUUUAUAUUCCAUAGAUCUUGUAUGUUGUUUUCUCCCUCCCUCCCUCCCCCCCCUUUCUUCUUUCUUCUGUUCUUAUCGGGUGAUUUCUGUUAUUCUAUCCUCCAGAUCACUUAUGCAUUCUUUUGUGUCAUUUAGUCUGCUAUUCAUUGCUUCUGGAGUGCUUUUUAUCUCAGAGAUUGAAUUAUCAAUUUUUGAUUGGGUCUUUUAAAUUUCUAGUUCCUUGGUAGAAUGAUCUGUGCUUACCUCUACUGUCUUAAUUCAGUUAGCAUUUUUAUUACCAACUUUUCGAAUUCAUUGUCUAUUGAUUAUCUCUUUUUCAUUAUUUAUUUCUUCAGGGGUUUUCUCUUGCUCUUUGAGUUGAGAGUAGUUCCUCUGCGUUUUCAUUUUACUUAACUUUCUCUGUCUGUGAAUUUAGGUGCAACAGUUACCUGUUAUGGUCUUGAAGGGGUGUUUUUAUGUGGGAACAUCCCUGUGUAGACUGUGUGUGCCUAACAUCUUUGGUGUGUGGGUUGAAUUUGAUGUGGAUGCCAGCCCACUACUUUCCUCAGGAUGUGAUGACAACUACCACCUUGAUAGGGGGGUACGGCUGGCGUUGGAGGAGCCAAAGACUGUGCAGGGUGUGAGGUGAGACUUCCUGUCUCCUCACUGGCCACAGCCGCCCUGUUGGGUGGGGUCUGCUCCCAAGCUGCUGGAGUGGAAGCCCUGAGGGUCGGGCUGGAGCUGGCUCUGUUCCCUUCAAGUGUGUGUUUUUCCUUCUCCCCACACUGGAACCUUUGCCCCGAAGGAGGGGAGUGCUGAAAUAAGCAGGGUUUGUGUGCUUAGAGAUGUCCACUGUGCUGCUUGUGUAGGUAUCUGCAGUCACGCUCAGAACCAGAUCAGGAUUGUCUUUUCCCCUAUUGCGGUGGUCUCAGCGCUAAUGUAAGGUUGUGGCACGGAGUGGGUGGGGCUGGAGCGUUUGCUUGGGGAUCACGGCAUUGUGGUUGCAGGAAUCGAAGUGGCUGCACUGUCCUGAGAAGUCUGGGCUACUUCUGUGGCGCUGAGUAAGCACCAGCAAUGGCCGUCACUCAGCCUGUACCAUACCCCAGGCCCGUGGGUCACCUCUGUGUCCCUAGAUCGAGUCUUUUCCCAGGAUGUGGCUGCCCUAGAUUCAGUGCCAAGCUGUGGUGUGGAGUGAGUGGGGCCAGGGGGUUCACUCAGCUUGGGUCAGAGAGUGUGGCAAGGUGACAGCUGCUAGGGCAGACCUCUCUCCACCCUGUUUGGUGGCAAGCCAGCACUCGUACUCCUCGCCAGUGCAGUCUAGGCUUCUCCAGCCUUUCUAUGUGUCACAGCUGUUCUCCAGGCAGCCAAAGGGCCUUGCCUCCUCUGUAUAAGACCGCAGGACUAGAAUGCCCAGUCUGUCUCUGAACCUGCUCACUCCCCAGGGUGAAUGUCCACCUGUAUGAUCUCCCUGUACCUCUUAGUUCCCUCCUGGGGGCACAGGUCUCGACCCGGUGCUUUUCUUCCCAUCCUACCUGGGAUGGGACUAUGGGGGAAUCUUCCUUGCAGCCUUGGUUGUAGAGGAGUCCUUCUGCCAGUUUCCACGUAGUUUUUGGUGAGAAUUGUUCUACAUGUAGAUGUAUUUUUUGAUUUGCGGGGGGGAGGUGAGCUCUACAUCCUCUUACUCUGCCAUCUUGAUCACUCUCCCACUCUCUCUCUCCUUUCCUCCUCUCAUUCUCUCCCUUUCCCUACUCAGGGAACUCUGUGGUACUUGGGGUCAUUUCUCAUCUGUACCCCAGAAGUCUUUGGAGCUAACAGGAGUUUUGUGUAUACUCACCUGGGCUUGGACCCGUCAUCUUCAUAACCACAUGCUCCCAGACUCAUGGACUUGGCUCUUUUCAAACAAUGUCCAUAUUGGCAGCUUUCAUCCAUUCAUUCAACAAAUACUUACUCGAGGCCUGCCCUACACUCAGUCCUGGUCUGGGGUUACUGUGGUAAACAAGACAGGUGCGGCCCUUACUCUCAUGAAGGUUAGUGAGGGGAGAAAGGAAUGAGCAAAUACACCAGGUGAUUUUGAUGGUAAGUGCAGUGAAGAAAAGAAAGCAGGCUGAUGCAGGAGAAAGUGACUGAGGUUGUCAAGACAGGCCUCACAAAGAGGUGACGCUCGAGACCUAGAUGAUCAGACUGCACCAGAUCACCAGGCAGGUUUCUCUGUUGAAAAUAACAGGAUCCGACUCUAGUUAACGUAAGCAGAAAAGGAAUGCACUGGAAGGGUACUGGGUACUUCAGAGAAUGGGCGGAAGGCCUGGAAAAUUAGGCCAGCACAGAGGCGGUUGCUAAGGGAGGUUGGCCAGAACACUGACCAAAAUCAUGCUACAGCUGUUUCUCGUUAGGACCCAGCCACCUCUGCUCUGGAUACUGACCUCGAACCCUGGACCCACAGGCACACCACCACCAGAGGGACCUCCAAGCUGGGCCUGAUUACCGCAGACCACAGGUUGUUCACAGUUUCAGGACUGUUUCUGCAGCCGUCACAUGAUAGCAAAACGGUGGUAAGCAGUGCACGAGUCUGCGUCGAAGACAGCCAGAGUCCAUGCAUCGGGAGGUUCUCUCGGUUGGAGAACGAACAAAGGGAGGACAUGCUCGGGGCAGGAGAUGCAGUUCCUCGCUCUCGCCACUAGAGGGAAUUCGUGAAGCUCCUCUCUGAAUGAGAAACCUGCCCCCCACCCAAAAGGCAAAGCUAAGACGAUAACCCAGAGUUCACCCAGACACAAGGUUCCUCAUAAAUAGACUCAGCCUCUCUGACUCUCCUUCCUCAUCUGUCAGAUGGCAGUUAGACCCAUCUCACGGGGCUGUGGAGAUUCAUCAAGACGACAGUGGUUGUAAAACCCCUACCACACACAAAGCCUCCUUAGGGAAAACCAGGACUGCCUGACGAGCAAAGUUUGCCAGCUGACCUGAUGCUUAAGCUUGGAGCGAGAGGCAGGAUCCAUCCUCCAGCUUCCUCAGGAGGAGAAAGAUCAAAGAAACUCCACUCACCCUUCAAGGCCUUGCUAAAGCAUCACUUCCUCCAGGAACCCCUCCCUGCUCUCCCAGCCGAGUCAGCAGAGUCCACAGAACGUGCAGGCAAUCAAACCAGUGCUUCAGGCGCUCGCCCUUGGCAUUGAUGCCCAGAACCACGCCGCCUGCAGAGGGGAGCCGAGAGGCAGCCAGGACACGGUAUCUGGAAUUACAACCAAUCAACAGGCAGAGAGUGAGAAGAUACUGAGCACACAUGGAGCCAGCAGGGCUUGGAAGAGAGAGAUUCCCAGGCCUCCUGUUCAUCCUAACCCUCGGAUGUCCCCAGCACUACUCUGUGACAAAGGUGAGCAGUCAGUGCAGUGGGAGAAGCAAGUGGGUCCUUCAUCACCUGGACCUCUGUUCACAACCCAUUCCUGAUGUCACAGAGCCCCUCCAUCCCCUAGGAAAGAGGAUUUUCUUUAUUUCUGGAAGUCUAAUUUUCACAGCUCUCAUUUCCCACCAGAAAAACAUUUUUAGCAAAGUUGGUCCCUUGCUAGAGCUCUUCUUUUUGUAAUAGUAGAUUAUGGAGAUAGAAUUCACACGCUAUAAAAUUCAUCUUUCUCAAGUGUAUAACGCAGCGGUUUUUAGCAUAGUAGCUGAGUUGUACAACCAUUGCCACUACCUCACUGGAGCUUUGAGGAAGGAAAAAAGGUCUUUUGGGCAGUGACAGCAGUGCUUCCUGAAGGGAAAGAGGGAAGCCCUGCUUGCGGGCCAGCUCCCUCCACGGGCAUCAGCUCCUUAGACUUUGAUGCAGAACAGCAGUCUUCAUCUGGGGCUCAGAAAGGUGGAGGGACUCACCCAGGGUCACACAGUUGCUCCGCACAGGGAUGGUGCUCAGAAGCCAGGCCGUGUCCUUUGCAAAGCUUCUUUUACCCUGUCCCUGCAUGGACACUAGUGACAAUUGCCCUGCUCCUGCUGACAGGACCACAUCUGUCUCACCCACCACCAGCUUCCUGGUAUCCAACUUGAUGCCUGGCACUGGGUGGGGUCAGUGAACAUAGAAAGUGGUACCUUAUUAUUGCUUUUCUGUGCACUUUAUAAAAAAGUUGUGAUUGUUAUUACAUAAGAAAUACUGGUUCGUUAUAGAAACACUAGAAAAUAUGUAUUAACAGAAGUUGGGGGUGGGGAAAGAAAUGAAUACACAGGUCUGCACAAAAGCCUGUUCCUUAGCAGCUUUGUACAGCCAUCAGAAAUUGGGAACAGCCCCCAUGCACUUCAACAGGAAGUGACCUGACGGACGACUACUUGGCAAUGCAGACCUACAGACCGAACUCUGGGCUCAGGCACCACGUGGCUGGCUCCCCAGAGCAUUAAGUUAUGUAGGAGUUGCCUUUAUAAGUCAGUCUGGAAAAGGCAAAACUGUUGUGACAGAAAACAAGUCAAAUGGUUGACUGGGGCCCGGGGACCUUUCUGGGGUGAUGGCAUCUGGAUCUUAACCAUGGUGGUGGUGACAAGAUUGUAUACUUCAGUCAGUCACACUUCAAAAGGGGAGAAACCUACUAGAUGUAAAUUAUACCUCAAUAAAGAUGACUUUUUAAAUAG